CUANAUUNCGGCAUGGGCGCAAGCCUGACCGANCGACGCCGCGUGGNGGAUGAAGGCCUUCGGGUUGUAAACUCCUGUCGAGGGGGAAAAAGGGUUGCAAGACCUUGAUUGAUCCCUGGAGGAAGCACGGGCUAAGUUCGUGCCAGCAGCCGCGGUAAGACGAACCGUGCGAACGUUAUUCGGAAUCAUUGGGCUUAAAGCGCGUGUAGGCGGAUUCGUGCGUCUGUCGUUGAAAUCCCCCGGCUCAACCGGGGAAGUGGCGCGGAUACGACGAGUCUGGAGGGGCAUAGGGGGACCUGGAACUUCCGGUGGAGCGGUGAAAUGCGUUGAGAUCGGAAGGAACGCCCGUGGCGAAAGCGAGGUCCUGGAUGCCUACUGACGCUGAGACGCGAAAGCCAGGGGAGCGAACAGGAUUAGAUACCCUGGUAGUCC
rnacentral:rRNA from 1 species